rnacentral:rRNA from 1 species
GACGUAGGGGGCGAGCGUUGUCCGGAAUUACUGGGCGUAAAGAGCACGUAGGCGGGUAUUUAAGUCAGGUGUGAAAGACCGCAGCCCAACUGCGGGGUUGCACUUGAAACUGGAUAUCUUGAGGGCAGGAGAGGUCAGUGGAAUUCCUGGUGUAGCGGUGAAAUGCGUAGAUAUCAGGAGGAACACCAGUGGCGAAGGCGGCUGACUGGACUGACCCUGACGCUGAGGUGCGAAAGCGUGGGGAGCAAAC